rnacentral:rRNA from 1 species
AGUGAACGCUGGCGGUAGGCCUAACACAUGCAAGUCGAACGGCAGCACAGUAAGAGCUUGCUCUUACGGGUGGCGAGUGGCGGACGGGUGAGGCAUACAUCGGAAUCUACUUUUUCGUGGGGGAUAACGUAGGGAAACUUACGCUAAUACCUCAUACGACCUACGGGUGAAAGCAGGGGAUCUUCGGACCUUGCGCGAUUGAAUGAGCCGAUGUCGGAUUAGCUAGUUGGCGGGGUAAAGGCCCACCAAGGCGACGAUCCGUAGCUGGUCUGAGAGGAUGAUCAGCCACACUGGAAAUGAGACACGGUCCAGACUCCUAAGGGAGGCAGCAGUGGGGAAUAUUGGACAAUGGGCGCAAGCCUGAUCCAGCCAUACCGCGUGGGUGAAGAAGGACUGCGGGUUGUAAAGCCCUUUUGUUGGGAAAGAAAAGCAGCAGGUUAAUACCCCGCUGUUCUGACGGUACCCAAAGAAUAAGCACCGGCUAACUUCGUG